AUGUGCAGAUUGAACUCUUUAAUUAGUCUGCUUACUUUUCACAGCAUUGAUUAUUGAUUCUGUAAAGUUAUAUUGACACAUCCAAAAAAGAACUGCCUCAAAAGGCUUUCUAAAGCGCAGAAAGAGCGGCUUCUUUAGAGCAGGAACGUUUUUGUACGACCACUGAACGAGUUUGUAUCACUGUGGAGGACUUUUGGUGGUGGGACAAAACUCUCAGUUGGACGUGAUGCCCCGCCCACCCUCACGGUCCUGCCCCCCUCCAGUG